rnacentral:rRNA from 1 species
CCUACGGGAGGCAGCAGUGAGGAAUAUUGGUCAAUGGGCGGGAGCCUGAACCAGCCAAGUCGCGUGAGGGAAGACGGUCCUAUGGAUUGUAAACCUCUUUAGGCGGGGAGCAAUGCCGGGCACGCGUGCCCGGAGGGAGAGUACCCGCAGAAUAAGCAUCGGCUAACUCCGUGCCAGCAGCCGCGGUAAUACGGAGGAUGCGAGCGUUAUCCGGAUUGAUUGGGUUUAAAGGGUGCGUAGGCGGAUUUUUAAGUCAGCGGUAAAAUGUCCGGGCUCAACCCGGGCCGGCCGUUGAAACGGGGGAUCUUGAGUGGGCGAGAAGUAUGCGGAAUGCGUGGUGUAGCGGUGAAAUGCAUAGAUAUCACGCAGAACUCCGAUUGCGAAGGCAGCAUACCGGCGCCCGACUGAAGCUGAGGCACGAAAGCGUGGGGAUCGAACAGGAUUAGAUACCCCUAGUAGUC